rnacentral:tRNA from 1 species
AGGUCGUUAGUUCAAUGGUAGAAUAAUGGAUUCCAAAUCCACUGAUGAGAGUUCGAUUCUUUCACGGCCUG